CAGCCGCCGCGGUAAUACAGAGGGUGCGAGCGUUAAUCGGAUUUACUGGGCGUAAAGCGUGCGUAGGCGGCUUUUUAAGUCGGAUGUGAAAUCCCUGAGCUUAACUUAGGAAUUGCAUUCGAUACUGGAAAGCUAGAGUAUGGGAGAGGAUGGUAGAAUUCCAGGUGUAGCGGUGAAAUGCGUAGAGAUCUGGAGGAAUACCGAUGGCGAAGGCAGCCAUCUGGCCUAAUACUGACGCUGAGGUACGAAAGCAUGGGGAGCAAACAGGAUUAGAUACCCCUGUAGUCCCUGUCUCUUAUAC
rnacentral:rRNA from 1 species